GACGAACGCUGGCGGCGUGCCUAAUACAUGCAAGUAGAACGCUGAAGGAGGAGCUUGCUCUUCUGGAUGAGUUGCGAACGGGUGAGUAACGCGUAGGUAACCUGCCUGGUAGCGGGGGAUAACUAUUGGAAACGAUAGCUAAUACCGCAUAAGAGUAGAUGUUGCAUGACAUUUACUUAAAAGGUGCAAUUGCAUUACUACCAGAUGGACCUGCGUUGUAUUAGCUAGUUGGUGGGGUAACGGCUUACCAAGGCGACGAUACAUAGCCGACCUGAGAGGGUGAUCGGCCACACUGGGACUGAGACACGGCCCAGACUCCUACGGGAGGCAGCAGUAGGGAAUCUUCGGCAAUGGACGGAAGUCUGACCGAGCAACGCCGCGUGAGUGAAGAAGGUUUUCGGAUCGUAAAGCUCUGUUGUAAGAGAAGAACGAGUGUGAGAGUGGAAAGUUCACACUGUGACGGUAUCUUACCAGAAAGGGACGGCUAACUACGUG
rnacentral:rRNA from 1 species